UCAGGAUGAACGCUGGCGGGUGCNUAAUACAUGCAAGUCGAGCGAACUGAUUAGAAGCUUGNUUCUAUGAGUUAGCGGCGGACGGUGAGUAACACGUGGGCAACCUGCCUGUAAGAUUGGGAUAACUUCGGGAAACCGAAGCUAAUACCGGAUAGGAUCUUCUCCUUCAUGGGAGAUGAUUGAAAGAUGGUUUCGGCUAUCACUUACAGAUGGGCCCGCGGUGCAUUAGCUAGUUGGUGAGGUAACGGCUCACCAAGGCAACGAUGCAUAGCCGACCUGAGAGGGUGAUCGGCCACACUGGGACUGAGACACGGCCCAGACUCUUACGGGAGGCAGCAGUAGGGAAUCUUCCGCAAUGGACGAAAGUCUGACGGAGCAACGCCGCGUGAGUGAUGAAGGCUUUCGGGUCGUAAAACUCUGUUGUUAGGGAAGAACAAGUACGAGAGUAACUGCUNGUACCUUGACGGUACCUAACCAGAAAGCCACGGCUAACUACGUGCCAGCAGCCGCGGUAAUACGUAGGUGGCAAGCGUUAUCCGGAAUUAUUGGGCGUAAAGCGCGCGCAGGCGGUUUCUUAAGUCUGAUGUGAAAGCCCACGGCUCAACCGUGGAGGGUCAUUGGAAACUGGGGAACUUGAGUGCAGAAGAGAAAAGCGGAAUUCCCACGUGUAGCGGUGAAAUGCGUAGAGAUGUGGAGGAACACCAGUGGCGAAGGCGGCUUUUUGGUCUGUAACUGACNCNNAGGCGGGNAAGCGUGGGAGC
rnacentral:rRNA from 1 species